rnacentral:lncRNA from 1 species
GCUACUGGAGCAGAAAGCUAUUAAAAAUGCGAGGUCCUGCUGGCAUUGUAGAAAAAUCCAUUUCAUAGUUGUAUAGUAGCAUACAAUUUCCAAGGGACUGCUAGAUAUUUGUAUUUGAUGCAUGAAGCUUAAGUAUGUUCAGGGAGUAAUCUGUUUUUCUGAUGUGAGAACAUGGAGCUGCCGCUGAAAACUGAAUCUCAUUCAAAGCUUUCUCAGCAGGGAAGAUUGGCCUCUUUACAUUGGAAGACCUCUGUCUGUGGUGUAUGCGUUUCAGAGCCUUCCCACCUGCUUUUGACAAGCUGGGCGAAAUAUAUCAUGGGAAGCCAUACUUGUGAAGAUCAGGUAUGCAGCUUAGUGUCCCAUUCGAGGAACACAGCCACUGCCAAACAGCUGGAGGUUGAUUUUUCCAUAGUGACUUUAUCUGGACACAUAUGGGAAGACAUAAGGUAUGCAGUAGCUAAGGAGGAAGUAUAUUAUUUAUUUAAUUUUGCUGUUAGCUAUCAUCAUGCUUACACAUUUAGGUGGACUAUACUCAUUAUUUGGCAUUUUUGAAAGAUCAGUGAUAGAGGGAUAAAAGAAUAAGAUAGUUUUAG